GGCGCUAUGGCUUAGUGAUAAAGCGCUUAGCCUCCAAACCUAGAGAUCCCGGGUUGGAAUCCUGGUGAAGACU
rnacentral:tRNA from 1 species